GAAUGUGACUAAAGUGAUGGUACGGGACUUCCAAGGCUGCGAGCUCGAAGUGUGGCCUCUCCUUGCUGUUUCUUUGAUGGCUCAUUCUCAGGGAAGCCAGCUGCCAUGUUGUGAGAACACUCAAAGAGCCCUACGGGGAGGCCCACGCUGCAAGGGACAGGGGCCUCUGCAAGGGACAGGGGCCUCCUGCCCACAGCCAUGUGAGCACACCAUCUUGGAAGCAGAUCCAUAGGCCUUCGUCAGCCUUCAGAUGACCGCAGCCUUGCUGAUGUCCUAACUACAAAAUCUCAAGACACCCUGAGUCAGAAUCCCCCAGGCAUCUAACACACUGUCCAGCACGCAGCUUCACCUCCUCCAGGAAGCUUUCCUUGACUUCCCCUCUUCUGUGAUCCGAAGUGCCGUGUACACGGCUUCGUCAGGAAAGAAAACAAAGAAGGAACAUUAUCCAUGAGGAUAAAAGGAGUCCAAAGAAGAGAGAGAAAGCAACGGGCACAUAUGGCAGAAACUUCACGAACAUGUCAGACUUGGAGAUCUUCCAAGCCUGUACUUGUACUUGUAUCAAGUGAGAUCAUCAGAAAGUUCUGUACCAUGUGAAGUUAUCGUUCUUACCUCUCUGGAGUCAGCGUUUGAAUUUUUUUCUGUACUACGACGUCCAACGGUGGUCUGACAAAAUCCACAGGACCUUGUCUAGAGUGCAAAGGAGAAAAAGAAGUUAGAGCUGCCUGAGAUUUCUAGCCGAAAACUCUGGGUGGAAGAUGACAUGACAGCAGAGAGAGGAAAUUUGGAAAGAGACGCCACGUACACAGAGUGAAGCCAAAGAGGUUGGUUCUGGACAAUGUGCUAGUGCAAGUUCCUGUGGAGUAUCCAGGUUGAACAAGAACUAAAAACGUACACUGUAUAUUACAGUCUCAAAAUUUAAUAGUUCAUAUAUAUUUUUUAAAGAUUUUAUUUAGGGGAUCCCGGGGUGGCUCAGCGGUUUAGCACCU